rnacentral:rRNA from 1 species
CAGUCGAACGAAGUAGCAAUACUUAGUGGCAGACGGGUGAGUAACAUGUAGGUAUCUGCCCUUUGGCCUGGAAUAACACGAGGAAACUUGUGCUAAUACCGGAUAAGUCUUUACGGAGAAAGCUUUAUGCACCAUUGGAUGAGCCUGCACUUGAUUAGUUUGUUGGUGGGGUAANGGCCUACCAAGACUGUGAUCAAUAGCUGAUUUGAGAGGAUGAUCAGCCACAUUGGGACUGAGACACGGCCCAAACUCCUACGGGAGGCAGCAGUGGGGAAUCUUGCACAAUGGAGGAAACUCUGAUGCAGCGAUGCCGCGUGAGUGAAGAAGGCCCUUGGGUUGUAAAGCUCUUUCGUCGGGGAAGAAAAUGACUGUACCCGAAUAAGAAGGUCCGGCUAACUUCGUGCCAGCAGCCGCGGUAAUACGAAGGGACCUAGCGUAGUUCGGAAUUACUGGGCUUAAAGAGUUCGUAGGUGGUUGAAAAAGUUAGUGGUGAAAUCCCAGAGCUUAACUCUGGAACUGCCAUUAAAACUUUUCAGCUAGAGUAUGAUAGAGGAAAGCAGAAUUUCUAGUGUAGAGGUGAAAUUCGUAGAUAUUAGAAAGAAUACCAAUUGCGAAGGCAGCUUUCUGGAUCAUUACUGACACUGAGGAACGAAAGCAUGGGUAGCGAAGAGGAUUAGAUACCCUCGUAGUCCAUGCCGUAAACGAUGUGUGUUAGACGUUGGAAAUUUAUUUUCAGUGUCGCANGGAAACCGAUAAACACACCGCCUGGGGAGUACGACCGCAAGGUUAAAACUCAAAUGAAUUGACGGGGACCCGCACAAGUAGUGGAGCAUGUGGUUUAAUUCGAAGAUACGCGCAGAACCUUACCAACACUUGACAUGUUCGUCGCGACUCUAGAGAUUAGAGUUUUC